rnacentral:rRNA from 1 species
UACGUAGGUGGCAAGCGUUGUCCGGAUUUAUUGGGUUUAAAGGGUGCGUAGGCGGUCUUAUAAGUCAGUGCUGAAAUAUCCCGGCUUAACCGGGAGGGUGGCAUUGAUACUGUAGGACUUGAGUAAAGUUGAGGUUGGCGGAAUUGACGGUGUAGCGGUGAAAUGCUUAGAUAUCGUCAAGAACACCUAUUGCGAAGGCAGCUAACUAAGCUUUAACUGACGCUGAGGCACGAAAGUGUGGGGAUCAAACAGG